UUUUUUUUUUUUUUUUAUUUUUUUUUUUUUUUGGCCGACCAUGGAGAAAGACGCUCGGGAAUUCAUCUCAGCCUGCUCUGUCUGGGCUUGGAACAAAACCUCCACCAAAGCUACAUCUGGUCUGCUUCAUCCUCUUCCCAUACAUAGUCGGCCCUGGUCACACAUAGCUUUGGACUUCGUCACUGGGCUUCCCCCAUUGAAUGGUAACUCAGUCAUCCUCACUAUUAUUGACUGAUUUUCCAAAGAGGCUCACUUCAUUCCCCUCCAAUCUGCCGUCCUCCUGGGAGACUGCGGACCUGCUGGUAUCCCAUGUUUUGCGGCUGCAUGGCAUCCCUAGUAACAUUGUUUCUGACAGAGGACCCCAGUUUACAUCCCAGGUAUGGACAGCCUUCUGCACAGCUCUGGGUAUUAAUGUCAGCCGUUCGUCUAGAUAUCACCCCCAGACCAAUGACCAGACCAAGUGGGCCAACCAGGAGUUGGAAACUGCAAUAUGCUGUGUGACUUCGGCUAACUCUUCCUCCUGGAGUGCCCAGCUAACCUGGGUGGAAUAUGCCCGCAACACCCUAAUCAACGCCUCAUCAGGUGUCACACUCUAUGAGUGUGCUCUGGGUUACCAACCUCCCUGGUUCUCUGCCCAAGAGGUCGAAGUAGCGGUGCCCUCAGUCCAGGACCACAUGCAUCGUUGUCGGCGCACCUGGAGGAGGGCCCGGGCUGCCCUUCUUCAUGCCUCCACCAGGACUUAAUCCCAAGCUAACCGUCUCCAUGCUUCAGCCCCAGUCUACACUCCAGACCAAAAGCUGCUCCUCCACCCCUCGGCUCAUUGACGACCAUCCUGCAUAUACCGUCCGGCGGCUUUUGGAUGUGCGCCAUCGGGGCCAAGGUUGGCAGUAUCUGAUGGACUGGGAAGGAUACGGGCCUGAGGAGCGCUGCUGGGUGCCCCGUCGUCACAUUCUGGAUCCCUCCCUCUUACAGGAUUUUCAUACCUCACACCCAGACAAGACGGGUCGUGCGCCAGGUGGCGUCCGUAGAGGGGGGCGUACUGUCACAUCUGCUUCUGCUACGCCCUCUGGUGUUCAUCCGGUGUCUUCUUGACCUGCAGUUAAUCCCCCUGUACACUCUCUCUCUCUCCCUCUCCCUUUUUGUGUGAUUGUGUGGUUGGAGAAAGGUGUGCUGGAGUCAGAGCAGAUCCCUACCAGCUGCAACUCGUUCCAUAAUGAAGACCUCAACAAAUACUCAGACCUGCCACUUGCACCCUGCCAGAUCGUAAUCUCUGCUCAUUACUGCUCUGCCUCUGGCUCCUGUCUCCUGUUCCACAUCUCACCACCCAACUACAUUGCUCUGGAUUUUACUCACCACCACUAUCUUUGAUUCCCCUCAGGACCUGUUUACCCUGUUCUACUCAGCUAACUCCAACCUCAGUCUCCACAUCUGUUUUUUCUGCAACUCAUCCAAGCUUCCCCGGAUCUGCACUCCAUAUCUCUCUGUGUAACUAUAAGUAUUUUGUUUCCUCAUCUGAGUCUGCUCUUGGGUUCCCCUGUGUCGCUCCGCCUAUAACAUAAAUAACAGCAAUAAAAGCUCUCUGUUUUUAGCUGCCAGUCAAUUAAACUACUAAUUAAAAACAUUCCACUCACGAUAACAAUCACACUUUAAUAGGGCAAAUAAUAUGGAGAGGCUGUUCGAUAGCAAGAACUGGAGUAUCUUCAUUGGAUUUUUCCAACUAAAUUGUAUUACAAACAAUGAACAGCACACACAAUUUAAACAGUUAAUUAGGUUAUUUAAAUGCAUUGCAUCAUAGGUGUAACAAUAGAUCAAUGUAAAGUAAGAUCUCAACAUGGAAAUGGAGGAAUUGAGACAGAUCAUCAAUAAAC
ensembl:lncRNA